rnacentral:rRNA from 1 species
GAUAAACGCUGGCGGCGUGCCUAACACAUGCAAGUCGAACGCCCUUACGCAAGCAAGGGAGUGGCGGACGGGUGAGGAACACGUGGGUGAUCUGCCUUGAGGUGAGGAAUACCGGCGAGAAAUCGCCGACAAUACCGCAUACGUUCGCAAGAACAAAGUCGCAAGACGCCUUGAGAUGAGCCUGCGUCCGAUUAGCUAGUUGGUGGGUAAAAGCCUACCAAGGCAGCGAUCGGUAGCUGGUCUGAGAGGACGAUCAGCCACACU